UACAGAGGGGGCAAGCGUUGUUCGGAAUUACUGGGCGUAAAGGGCGCUUAGGCGGCCUGUUAAGUCGAACGUGAAAUCCCUGGGCUCAACCCAGGAACUGCGUCCGAUACUGGCAGGCUUGAAUUCGGGAGAGGGAUGCGGAAUUCCAGGUGUAGCGGUGAAAUGCGUAGAUAUCUGGAGGAACACCGGUGGCGAAGGCGGCAUCCUGGACCGAUAUUGACGCUGAGGCGCGAAAGCCAGGGGAGCAAACGGG
rnacentral:rRNA from 1 species